AUUGAACGCUGGCGGCAUGCUUUACACAUGCAAGUCGAACGGUAACAGGCCGCAAGGUGCUGACGAGUGGCGAACGGGUGAGUAAUGCAUCGGAACGUGCCCAGUCGUGGGGGAUAACGCAGCGAAAGCUGUGCUAAUACCGCAUACGAUCUGUGGAUGAAAGCGGGGGACCUUCGGGCCUCGCGCGAUUGGAGCGGCCGAUGUCAGAUUAGGUAGUUGGUGGGGUAAGGCUCACCAAGCCGACGAUCUGUAGCUGGUCUGAGAGGACGACCAGCCACACUGGGACUGAGACACGGCCCAGACUCCUACGGGAGGCAGCAGUGGGGAAUUUUGGACAAUGGGCGCAAGCCUGAUCCAGCAAUGCCGCGUGCAGGAAGAGGGCCUUCGGGUUGUAAACUGCUUUUGUACGGAGCGAAAAGGCUCCCUCUGAUACAGGGGGCUCAUGACGGUACCGUAAGAAUAAGCACCGGCUAACUACGUGCCAGCCGCCGCAGUAACAC
rnacentral:rRNA from 1 species